UACGAAGGGGGCUAGCGUUGCUCGGAAUCACUGGGCGUAAAGGGUGCGUAGGCGGGUCUUUAAGUCAGGGGUGAAAUCCUGGAGCUCAACUCCAGAACUGCCUUUGAUACUGAAGAUCUUGAGUUCGGGGAGAGGUGAGUGGAACUGCGAGUGUAGAGGUGAAAUUCGUAGAUAUUCGCAAGAACACCAGUGGCGAAGGCGGCUCACUGGCCC
rnacentral:rRNA from 1 species